rnacentral:snRNA from 1 species
AUCGCUUCUCAGCCUUUUGACUAAGAUCAAGUGUAGUAUCUGUUCUUAUCAGUUUAAAAGGGAAGAUGUAAAGGAAAAAAGAUUAAAAAUCAUGCAAAGGUGAACACUGAUAAUAUGAGAUAGAGAACAGUUAAGUGCGGGAGCUAAGGCCUU